GAUGAAGAACGCAGCGAAAUGCGAUAAGUAAUGUGAAUUGCAGAAUUCAGUGAAUCAUCGAAUCUUUGAACGCACAUUGCGCCCCUUGGUAUUCCGAGGGGCAUGCCUGUUCGAGCGUCAUUAUAACCCCUCAAGCUCAGCUUGGUGUUGGGGCCUGCUGCACUGGCAGCCCUUAAAAUCAGUGGCGGCGCCAUCUGGCUCUAAGCGUAGUAAUUCUUCUCGCUAUGGAGUCCUGGUGGAUGCUUGCCAUUAACCCCCAAUUUUUCUAUGGUUGACCUCGGAUCAGGUAGGGAUACCCGCUGAGCUUAAGCAUAUCAAUAAGCGGAGGA
rnacentral:misc_RNA from 1 species